rnacentral:lncRNA from 1 species
UAAUCUUACACAGAUUGAAAAUUCUAACUUUGAAACAUUUCCAGAUUCCAUUUUGACUAUCACUUCUGAACAAGAGUUGCCUCCUUACAGAUUAUGUCAAUAUGGUCCUUCCAGAAUUAUCACUAUACUUCCAACUGUCCUUGAGCAACCAAUCUUUGGUAAACCUUAGAUUGUCCUCGACAAUUGUUUAAUCCUUUUAGUCAUAUCCAGUUCUAAACCUUUUCCCUUCUUAAUGCCCCAGGCAUUUGGAAAAUUUUAGAAAGGAUAAAUAUAGCACAUGUAAUCGAUCCUAUAUCUGAAGCAUAUUGGACACGAUUCAUGAUGUCUCACAUAAAGACUAAACCAGUCUUUUGCUAUAAUAUUUUAAUUUCUAUUUGCCAAGUUCUCAUAAUUCAGAUUAUGAAGAGGGAUGUCGUAAUCAUAAUCGAAUUUUAGAAUGCAAAUAAUGAACCCAUGUAUAGAAUUUCCUUAUGUUGAGUCAUUCCAACAUGAAAUCCAUAUAUAAUCUUGACUAAAUUUGAUUAAAAUCUCACGAUCUAAUCUUAUAGAUUUGAGAUGAAGUAUAAUUUUCUCUCCCUUAAUUAUAGCAANUCAAAAUCAUACACCUCUUUUAGAUAGCUCACAGGUGUGUCUAAACAAUUUUAGAACUAUGAAAAGGGAUGCCGUAAUCAUAGUCUCAAUUUUUUAUACCUUUUUGCCACUUCUCACAAGUCCAUGUUAGUGUGCCGGUUAACCACACAGCUCCACAAACGACUUGGAGAAUGCAAAUAUCACAAUUGCUAUCUACUUCAAAUCUACUUGGUGGAAGUGUUUCCUCACCAUCAUUUUCAUGAAUCGGAGAGAAACCUUAUGACCCUUAGAUUUAAUGGUGUAUGUGUUCUUAUCCAUGUGAAUUUUCAAAACCAUAGUCACAAGACAAGGAUAAUGACAAAUCCAAACUCAUAUGGACUGAACUCAAUCUUAAUUUCUUGCCACCUGGCAGCUCAAGGGCCUGCCAUUGCUUCCAAGUUGUUGUGCAACCAAUUGAGAACUCUAAGAACUCAUAUGCAAAGCCAACUUUAACUGGAAUGGGCACAGAAUAUGUCAACACGAUAGGUUAUAAACCUCAAGUCGUGUGCUAGUGAAGAACUUCAGGUUUUAUUCUUGAUUAGUUCUUGAGACUUUCAAGACCUUUAAGACUCCCACUGUCCUCUUGACAUAUAAGACUCUCUUGUCAAAUAUUCAAGAGAUAGUGUGGAUUCUAAUCAAGACAAACACUUCACACAAUUGGCCUUAGUUGGUCUUUGUUUUAUCCAAAACAUCACAACUUACCAAUUUCAAAUGUACAAGAGUAGAAAACUUUUACUCUUACAUUUGACAAGUGUUUUAAACCUUCUUUAAGACAUGUCACUCAAGUUACAAUCUUAGAGUAUGACUCUAAGACUUGUAUUGGAACGAAGUAUGACUCAUCUUCUUGAUUUAACCAUUUCAACAAUUCAAGUUCCCUCUUCUUAGUCAUAAGAAUGCACUAAGAUUUCCUUAGAGAACUAAUUGUGAUAUGGUUUCUUAAUCAUUAAGAUGAUCACAAAACUGAUACUAAAGUACUCUCCCAUCUUUUCAGAUUUGAGAAACUUUUAUCCUUCUGCCUAAUUUGAUUCUUCUUAUUCGCUCUGCCAUACAUUGGAACCUUUUCCAAUGUCUCAGAGUUACACUUAAGCUUGUAAGUAUAAUCAUAUUUACUGAGCUUUAGUAAACUAUGACGAAUAGUCUUAUCAAUCUUUUGUGGUGGACUUAAUCAGUGCACAAGAAUGUGUACUCGAUCCCUUAGUCCUUUACUUGACUCACACAUCCAUGUGGCCGAGUAAUUAGUCUUAAUUUUCCAAAACUUGAAAGUUCUCAUUCAUCAUGCUAUACAACUUGCAUGAUUCCAAGUUCCGGUCCAAUUGAAACUUGGGUGAUGAGAAUCUUUCCUUAUUUGGUAAAUUUAGACAUUACCACAAAUGAAAGAAUCAAUUUCAUAUUUCCACUCUUGCUAUUAAUGGAAUCAUAUAAGCAACAAUUUUUCCUCAAAUGCCAUUGUAAGGAUAUUUUAAAAUAAAUAAAAUCAAAAAUUUUCUUUUAUUUUAAAACUUUGCGGAAAAACUUAUCCUUACAAUCCAUAUGAAAACUUGUUGUUAUCUAUUCCUAAGCAAUAUCUCAUAACUCCUAAGAAGUAGCUCAAGAAUCCGAUCUUCAAACUAUGCGAUAGAAAUCCAUCUACGCCAUCAGAUUCAGCAUAUUCUUUCUUUAAGUUUCUUCACUUUUCUUUGAUUCUUAAAACAUCACCAUGUGACCCAGUCACAUCAUGUAUCAAGAAUCUCAGAAUAGAAACUUAACAGAGUUAGAUAGUGGACUUUACCUGAAGUAGAGUCAAACUUAUUGACUUUAACAUCCUUAGGUAAAUUUGGCAGCUUCGCAACCAAUGCCCCUUCCUUUGGCAAUAUAAACAUAUGGACCCUUUGAUAAUGGUACACGAGACUAUCACAGACUUAGCUUUUCUCUUUACCAUUUGGUCAACCGAGUUGACUAUGGCCGAUCCCUUUCCAUUGGGAAGAGAAUGCUUUACUGGAUAUCCAAUGUCAUCAUUGUCAAUGUCCAUAAAGUUUUAGGAAGUUGAUCUUAGCAAAUAGAUAAGAUCAUUAAGGGUCUUGUCAUAGUCUGUUUCAUAGGUGUCCCAAAGGAACUCACUAUGUGACUUAGAAAGUGAUUGAACCACCAACUUUCUCAAGACUUUGACACCCAACUCUCCCGGCUUGUCAAUAUGUGACUACAUCUCCAAGAUGUGAUCACACCUAGACCUUGCCUUGCCAAUAGGGCUUGAGUGACCUUAAACUUUUCAAGAACUUGUGGGUUAGGGAGAAUAAUUGGAGGAGGAGAAAGAAGUAUGAUAUCCAUGGGACAUCAUCUUCAUUAGGAAACCUUGUUUCAAGAGAUUUGGGAAGAUCAUAGGUGUCUAAACCAGACAUCUUUUGGGAGAUAUUCAAGAUAGUUGAUUUAAAGUCCUUAAUAUGACACCCAAUAUGAAAUAUUAAGGCUAGGACCCAACAAACUAUUUUAUAACUUAGAAGAGGUAUGCCGUAAUCCAAGCUAUAAAAUAUUUGAAGGUAGGUGAAUGACGAUUCACCAAUUUCCACCAAGAUAAACGAAAUGUAUUAUUAGGUUUUAAUUGGUUUUGAAACUCCUAGAUCUUUGAGAUUCAUUGAACUGUUCAAAGGCAUGUUUCAAUCUCGAGUGUGCCCUUCAGGUUUUGUGACUGGGAUGCCGAGGAUCACAAAACAAGGUGUGAAGUAACCAUGCAAAUCACUUGGUACCCUUAAUAAAUUACCCCUCAAUCGAUGUGCCGAUUAACCACACACGCUCCAUCGAUACUAUGAUAAACAUUAAGUUACCCUUUACCUACCUUGUUAAAUACAAGUUAGUGUGCCGGUUAACCACACACGCUCCACUAACCGACUUAAACAAAGUGCAAAGUGUAAUUUCAUGGAUUAGCAUCUUAUUCACAUUUUCCUAAGUAACUAAGAUUGGGUAUUAAUAAAAGGUUUAGUUACUUAUUAUUUAUCAUUAAUACUUUUAAUAAAGGGAAAAUUAUAGUCCUUGUCCUACCCGAUCGGCUAACGACCCUCCAGUGGUCAAGGAAGCAGUGGGUGAGAGUGGACACCCAUUAAACUGUCAUUUUAUAGGCAGUAACCUUAUCCCCCCCCCCCUAUAGACUGGCUUCGUGAAUGAGGCCUACUAACGGUAAGACUGACUUUACUCUUAUACAUAUAUAUAAAUAUUAUUAACUUAUAAUAUUAUAAAGUAUAAGGGUUGAAUUUUAACUUUUAAAAUUCUAAGGGCUAACUUGGAAUUAAAGUAUUCAUAAGAGAAAACUUUACAAAUUCCAAAACUUGAGGGCAAGUUUUGAAACUAUUCAAAACUAAUUAAUUCCAUAACUUAUGUGUUUAAAGUAGUUUUAAUCCAAAAACUCUUCAAGUUCCAUAACUUGAGGACAAGUUAUGGAAGACUUUAAACUAAUAAAAGAAUUAACUUUUCUUUAUUUUAUAACUUAUGGAAUUAAUUAAGGUUACACUUUUUUUUNNNNNNNNNNNNNNNNNNNNNNNNNNNNNNNNNNNNNNNNNNNNNNNNNNNNNNNNNNNNNNNNNNNNNNNNNNNNNNNNNNNNNNNNNNNNNNNNNNNNNNNNNNNNNNNNNNNNNNNNNNNNNNNNNNNNNNNNNNNNNNNNNNNNNNNNNNNNNNNNNNNNNNNNNNNNNNNNNNNNNNNNNNNNNNNNNNNNNNNNNNNNNNNNNNNNNNNNNNNNNNNNNNNNNNNNNNNNNNNNNNNNNNNNNNNNNNNNNNNNNNNNNNNNNNNNNNNNNNNNNNNNNNNNNNNNNNNNNNNNNNNNNNNNNNNNNNNNNNNNNNNNNNNNNNNNNNNNNNNNNNNNNNNNNNNNNNNNNNNNNNNNNNNNNNNNNNNNNNNNNNNNNNNNNNNNNNNNNNNNNNNNNNNNNNNNNNNNNNNNNNNNNNNNNNNNNNNNNNNNNNNNNNNNNNNNNNNNNNNNNNNNNNNNNNNNNNNNNNNNNNNNNNNNNNNNNNNNNNNNNNNNNNNNNNNNNNNNNNNNNNNNNNNNNNNNNNNNNNNNNNNNNNNNNNNNNNNNNNNNNNNNNNNNNNNNNNNNNNNNNNNNNNNNNNNNNNNNNNNNNNNNNNNNNNNNNNNNNNNNNNNNNNNNNNNNNNNNNNNNNNNNNNNNNNNNNNNNNNNNNNNNNNNNNNNNNNNNNNNNNNNNNNNNNNNNNNNNNNNNNNNNNNNNNAAUACAUACCUCUUUGAUGUAGAAUGUCUUCAUGAAGCUUGAGUGCCUAGUGCCUCAAGUGUGACACCUCAAAUGGUUCACACAACACCAAAUACACUUGGAAUGACUUGAGAGAAAUCCACAACUCAUGAAAUUGGCUAGACCUUCUUUUACACACACUAGUGGAAGAUUUUGGUGAACAAUAUGAUGCUUAUAUAGUGUGUUACAAUUAGGGUUACACCAUGUAAGCCCUAAUUGUCAUGACCUUUCAUUUCCAUGACCCAUGGGUUAUGUAACCUCCAUGGAGCAUCCUAUGGGUUUAACCCAACUUGAUUAUCCAUGGAGCUUUGGCCCACUAUAUAAGUUAUGGAUGAUUUGCACAAUCAAGCCAUAUAUUUAAUUAGUCUUCUUUUGAUCACAUAAUUAAUUCUAAAUUAAUUCUUGAUCAAUACUAAUUAAAUAUUAUUAUUCUUAUUAUUAAUAUACUAGAACUUAUAAUAUAUUAAUAACCAUAAGUGUCUUAUUUCUCUCAUUUAGUCUAUCCAAGUGCAUGAUGCCAUGCAACCCAAAUGGACCAUGCCGGGUCGGGUCAAGUCUUACCAAUUAUAGUUAUGGACUUAGACAUUAAUCCAACAGUUGAAACUUCAUAUCUAGGCAUUAUGAGGUCCCUCAGGCCUAAAGAUUCAAGCUUUAUCAAGCUAUUGGCCAAGUUUAUGCAUUAAACCCUCUAUAGAGCUUUGUUUUGGCACUUUGAGCCCUAGGUGCCAUGCAUAAACAUAAAGCUUGAAGCUUUACAUGGUAUUUCAGCAUUGGGAGGCUAUAUCUAGAGUUUGGCACUUUAGUUCUUCUUAAAAUCGUCUGAAUGAGAAAGGGACUCGAAGAGUGGAUGAGCCAACUCAACGAGUCGGUUAGGGUUUUUCCCGAUAGUCUGGACGCGCUACAACUCGGCAAGUUAUUGAGACAACUCAACAAGUUGAGUUGGAUUUUACCAAUACUUCAGAGAGAACAAAGGAACUCGUUGAGUCGCAUAGGUGCACUCGACGAGUAGGGUCAACAUGGACUGUUGACUCGAGCGUUGACUUCCGUUGAAUUUUAGGGUUUGGUCAAGACAUGAGUUAAGAAGACCAUGGAGGGGUAAAAUAGUCUUUCACCCUUUCUGAGAGUAAGGAAAGGGGUUAGCCUAACUUUUUAUAUUUGUGAUUAUAAAGUGUUAAUUAGAGAUAAUUAUAUUAUGUAAGCAGAGUCUAGACUGUUUGUGGGGUACUAGAUCUACUUGCUUACUUACGAGGUGAGUCUUCUCACUAUACUUACCUGGAUGGUAAUAUUGUGUGACCGGAGGGUCUUAUUUAAGUUAUCGACCGAAAGGUUCCUAUGUGCUUAUAUUGAGUUAUGUGAUAUUAUGCAUUUUGUCUUUGUGAUAUAUGUUAUAUUAUUUUGUGCUUUACUGAGUUAGGAUAGGAGGUUCCAAACCGAGUUGUGAGACCAGAGGGUCUUCACUGAGAUACAGGAGUGGAGGGUCCAACCCGAGUUGUGGGAUCGGAGGGUCUUCACUGAGACACGUGACCAAAGGAUCCACACCGAGCCAUAAGACCGAAGGUUCCUCACCGAGACUCAUGACCAGAGGGUCCAUGCCGAGCUAUAGCCACGAGAGGCUUAUUAUUUAUGUAUGUGGUUUUUUGGGGAACUCACUAAGCUUCAUGCUUACCGUGUUAUGUGAUAUGUGUUUCAGGUACGUCUCAGGAUCGCAGGAAGGCAUCGUCUUGAUUGUACAUACCAGUUAGAGAUCAUGACUUUAAGGAUUCUGGGAUUUUACCAAACAUUGUUGACUUGUGUUUUGAUAACUUAUACAUUUUGUGGUUUUGGGAAAUGUGAUAUUGAGUUUAUGUGAUUUUAAAAACAAAAAUUUUAUUUGAAAAUUUACAGUGUUACACCUUAUGGGAAGAGCAUGAACAAAAUUGAGGCUAUAAGGGGUUCUAUUUAUAAUUUAGGUAACUUAGGGACAAAGCAAGAUUUGAAUAAUUAAAUAAUAGAUUUAAUCAUUAUUCAAAUCCUUUCCUUAUCUACAUCCAAGAGGCUUCUGGAAAUCCUAAGUAGGCUUCCAAAACCGUCCACCGCUUGGAUGAUUCUAGAAUUGUUUCUUUUGUUCAACUAUUGAACAAUUACACUUCACCCCUUACACCUUUAAUUAAUUCCAACUAAUCCCAAGUUAAUUCAAGAUUAAUUUUGAUUAAUAAUUAAUUAAUUUUUAAUUGAUUUCUUAUUAAUUUAUUAAUCAUAUAAAUUAACAAAUCAAUUAUAUAACAGUUGAUCUCAUGUUAAUUUAUUAAUUACAUAAUAAAUUAACAUAUCGAUUAUCUAUUUCCAAUUAAUAUAUUAAUAACAUAAUAUAUUGAUAGAUUAUUGAUCUCUCUUUCUCCUAAUAUCAUUUCUAGCUAUUCUGGUUAUGAGGCCAACCCAAAAGGAACUUUGUUAAUAAUUCAAGAUUAUACUAAUCUAGUUAUUGGCUUAAACAUCUAAUCCAACAGUUUCAAGCUAUCAUGCCUACAAAUUUUUGGAUUGUAUGUGUCAUCAUUGCUACUUAUCUUAUCAAUUGUGUGCCAUUUGAAUUACUUCAAAACCAGUCUCCUUAUUUCAGUUUAUAUGGUAAGAAUAUUUAUUACUCACAUUUGAGAACAUUUGGUUACUUGGCAUAUGUGUCUACAUUGUCUACAAGUAGAACCAAAUCCAAUCCAAGAGCAAGUGCAUGUGUCUUUUUGGGCUAUCCACCUGAAAUAAAGGCUUAAAAAUUCUUAGAUAUGUCUUUAAAUAAGAUCUUUUGUUCAAGAGAUGUCAAGUUUCAUGAAAACAUCUUUCCUUUUUAGGAAAAUAUUGGAUUUGUCUCAGUUGAUCCUUUUUCCCAUAUUGUCCUUCCUUUAUCCUUUUUAUAUAACCAUUUUGUCCCUUCUCAUAUUCCACAUUCUAUUCCUGAACAUAUCCUUGUUGACAAUCAUCUUGAUGAUCAUCAUAUUGAUGAUAAUCCAAAUCAACCUAAUACUAGACCUUCCUGACCACAUAAUCUACCUUCUUACUUGUGUGAAUUUCAUUAUUAUUCAACACAAACUAUUAUCAUUUCUCAGUGUUCUUAUCCGUUGGAAGACUAUUUUUCAUAUGCAAAGGUUUCAUCACAACACAAGGAUUUUGUUAUGGUUUUUAUGCCAAUUUUAAACCACAUAGUUAUGCUCAAGCAAGUUAGUUUCAAGAAUGGAAUGAAGUUAUGUCAGUUGAAUUGGAUGCUAUGAAGUGUAAUAAAACAUGGACCAUUUUACCCUCCCUCCCUGCAAGAAUAUAGUUGGGUUUCGUUGGACGUAAAAGAUAAAAUAUGGUUCUAAUGGCAAAAAAUAAAGACAUAAAACAUGCCUUGUAGCAAAAGGAUUUACACAACAAGAGGGUAUGAUUUUUUUGACACAUAUUCUCCAAUUGCUAAACUUGUAACAAUUAAAAUUCUCUUAUCAAUUGCAGCAGCAAAAUCAUGGAAUUUGGUACAAUUAGACGUGAAUAAUGUUUUCCUUAAUGAAACAUUGCAUGAGGAAGUUUAUACGGACAUCCCUCCUGUUGUUCAUCUUCAAGGGGGAACAUAAUACAAGCAACAAAUUGGUGUGCAAAUUGAAUAAAUCAAUUUAUGGAUUAAAACAUGCCUCAAGACAAUGGUUUGAGAAAUUCUCAAAUUUUAUGAUUCAAAUGGGUUCAUUCAAUCAAAAUAUGACUACUCUUUGUUUCACAAAGGUCAUAAUGAGAAUUAUGUGGCUUUGUAAGUCUAUGUGGAUGAUAUCAUCAUCAUAGGGGCAUCUAAGUCAGAAAUUGGAAACAUAAAAUUGCAAUUGAGCAAUGCUUUGAAACUCAAAUACUUAGGAAAUUUGGGUUAUUUUCUGGAUUAGAAGUGGAAAAAAUCUAAAGAUGUUAUGUAACGCCUGGUACGUAUUUUAAAUAUGAAUUUGUGCAUUUUUACACUAGGACUCGACGAGUUAGAGGCCCCAACUCGUCGAGUAUAUGCGAAUCUUGGGACGUGGGUGGAAGAGUCUUCUUGCCGAGUCGGAAGCCCCGACUCGACGAGUACAUCUGUCUGGAUGAAACCCUAAAUUUUGGGGUUUUCAACCUAUUUAAUCACUUUAACUGGCCCCCAUACCACCCUACAUCAUCUUCCUUAGUCCAGAAAACCCCAACUUGAAACCCUAGAGUAUUUUGCAAGUGUGAGAGCCAUUCUUGAGGGAUUCUGUGUGUUUUUGAAGCUUGAGAAGAAAGAGGAAGCUUAAUAGAUCGAGAGGAAUCAAGUAGAUCCAGAGAUUUUGUAACAUUCCCAUUUCAUUUGACAUAAAAAGUUUGUACCUUGUUCAUUCAUUCAUUAGAUCUCUCCAUGGGGUAGUUUAGGGCCAUUUGGAGCUCAUUAUGGAACCAUUCAUGGAUGCCAACUUGUUUUGGUGUUAGGACUUCAGAUCCAGAGACUUAGAGGGACUCAAUGGCAUAAAGGUGCCAACUUUAUGGCCAUGCGAGUCCCAUGCAUCUUAUGGAACACUCUUUAGGACUAUAUGGACUCGUUAACCCAUGCAUGCACGUAACGUUUGUAACUUUACGUGCUAUAUCGAUCCUAGGAGGUCAGAUCUAUGUUAUGGAUGCAUUAAGCCCAACUGAAAUCGACUAGAUAGACUUGGACUUUGGGGAACUUGACGAGUCAUUCAUAGAACUCGGUGAGUCAGGCCAUGGUUCCCUAACCUUUUAUGUUUCUGAGCAAUCUAGUUGGGUCUAGAAGAGGACUCAACAAGAUGGACAUGAAUAUGGAAUUGAAGAUCAAAGAACUAGACGAGUUCAAGGAUGAACUCGGAGAGUUCAAGGCAAUGUCCCGACUAAUAUGAAGAAUAACUCAGUGAGUCAAGGGCUAAACAUUCCAGCUUAUAUGAACCAGGACUCGACGAGUUCAAGGAUGAGCUCAACGAGUCAUGAGCAAAAGGUCCCGAUUCUGUAUAACGGAGAACUGGACGAGUUAUUGCAAGACUCAACGAGUAGGAUCGAAGUUCCAGUAUUUUGUGGAUCAUGGAACUCGACGAGUUGGUGGACCAACUCGACGAGUUGAGUCAACCAGAUGUUGACUUUAACCAAAAGUCGACUUUGACCAGGGUGUUGACCUUGACUUUGACUUUGACCUGAGUUGACCCUUGAAAAAGUUAUGAGUAUGAAACGGUAAUUAAGGAAGGUUGUUAUACGUAUGAGUUUGAGGAGUUGAUCAUAGCGACGAGGAUAGUUCAAAUACUACACGACAUUGAGGUGAGUUACCUUCUAGUAGAAGUGGGUCUAAGGCACCAAUGUCAGCCCACUAGUAGGUGAUUACAGAUGAGAUGAUUGUUUUUGUGAUAAUUGUCUGGUAUACCACUAUCUGAUAUGUUUUACGUUUCAGCACGCUAUGUUAUUAUGUGGUAGAGAUAGGGCUGAAACAGUCCUCGGUUACCGGUUGAAAGAGACCGAAUGGGAGGCCUGCACCCAGAUAUGCUAGGUUGUAUAUGAUUGAUAUGUUUAUGCUAGAUUAUUAUGUGCUAGUGGUAGGGGUGAAAUCGUCCCUGGUUACUGGUUGAAAGAGACCGAAGGGAGGGCCAGCACCCAAAUAUGCUAGGCAGGUUAACAGUUGAAAGAGACCGAAGGGAAGGCCAACACCUAGAUAUACUAGGCAUUAUGUGAUUAUUGAUAAGUUUUAUACAAAAGAACAAUCUUAUGUGCUCAUGCAAAACCCUAAAGCUUGGAUCUAGGUUUCUCUAUUGUACAUGUAAUUCAUCCAAGACUUGAAUACCCUAUUCUAGCAUACAUUGAAAUCGAAAUCUAUAACAAAACAAGUUUAGAUGAUACCUUUCAAUAGUUGAAAGAAUCCUUCAUCUUCAAGAAGCUUAGUGUCACAAGUGUAACACCUCUAAUGGCUCACAAACACCACAAGCAAGAGGAUGAUCUAGAAGAGAGAAAGAGAGAAGCUAAUUUUUGGCUAUAGUAACUCUAGGGUUCUUGGUGUAGCCGAAACUGAAGCCCUGGGGUCCUUUAUAUAGCUGAGUUGCUAGGGUUUCAUUCAAAACCCUAAUUGGAUGACUUAGGCCCUAAGCAGCUUGAGAACCUUGUGCAAUAAGGCCUCCUUGGAUGAAAUUAGAGUGGGCUUCCACUCCUAAUCCCGUCCCCCUUAUAUCCAAGAGAGUUCACAGCCCAAAACCAACUAUCACAAAAAUGACAAUUCUAGUCCCUUUAUUUAAUUAAUCUCUUUUAGCCACAAAAUUAAUUCUUGACUAAUAUUAAUUAAACUAUAUGAUUAUGUAACACCCGAUUUCUGAUAUGCCUUUAAUUCAAGUAAUUAUUAUGUUUUUCUCUAGGACUCGACGAGUUGGAGGCCCAACUCGUCGAGUAGAGUCGUGAUCCGCGGGAAGUUUAAGUAGUCUACUCGACGAGUCGGGAGACCGACUCAGCGAGUAGACGCUGUUUGAGUGAAACCCUAAUUGAGGGUUUGCAUCCUAUUUAAAUACAUUAUAACCCCUAAACUCAGCCCCCAUCAUACAGAGAAAACCCUAACUCAAAACCCUAGUCGUUUUUAGUGUGUUCUUGAGCCUUGUGGUGUUACUUUGUGUGAUUGAAGCUUGAAGAAGAGUAGGAGGCUUGUGAGAUCAAGGGGGAACAAGAAGAUCCAUAGUUUUUAGCAUAUUUGCAGCUUAUUAGAGUUAUAAAGCUAAAACCCAGUCUAUUCAUUGUCUAGAUCUUGAUUUUGGGCCUUUUCUACAUCUUUCUAAGCCCUAGAGCGGUUGUAUUUGGGAUUGAUUAUUGGAAGUCAAUUAGUGCUUCAGAUCUGGGGUUAUUGGGGGUCUUUAUGGCAUAAAGGUGCCCACAUUGUUGCCAUAAACACCCCAUGCAUCUUAUAGACCAUCUUUUAUGGAUUUUUGAGCCAAAGACCCCAUGCAUGGACAUCAAGUUCAUGACUAUACAUAUAAAAGGGACCCCAGGAGGUCAGAUCUAUGAUUUGGAUGCAUUUAGUCCCACUGAAAUCGACUGUAUAGUUUUGGACAAGGAGGGACUCGACGAGUCACUUAGGUGACUAGGCGAGUCGAGACGCUUUUUCCCCAAAAACGUCUUUUGGAAAUGGUUUUGGUUGAGUGGAAGGAACGCUCAGCUUGCUAGGGGUUUGCCUUGGAUCUGGAAGUCAUGGGACUCGAUGAGUGCUAGAACACACUCAGCGAGUCCAAGGCAAUCUCCCAAUCUUUGAAGAUGGACUUGACGAGUUGUUCUUACAACUUGGCGAGUCAUACACUGGACGCAUUCAUAUGUUGAAGAUGAACUCGACGAGUUCAAGGAAGAACUCACCAAGUCGGUUGAAGAUUGACUGAAGUGUUGUUGAAGGUGAACUCGUAGAGCUCUUUCUAGACUCGACGAGUGGGACGGGUUUGUAGUAUUAUGUGGACGAAGGGACUCGGUGAGUUGUCAGACCAACUCAACGAGUCUGGUCAACCAAAGAGUUGACUUGACCAGGGUUUGACUUUGACUUUGACUUUGACUUGGAUUCAAGUUGACCCUUGAAGGGGUUGUGCGUACAAAUUGAUAACUUAAAAGGGUUGUCGUCUAAGGAUUGAGGAGUCGACUUUCACACCGAGCACAGUGCAGAUGCUACACGACUUCGAGGUGAGUUACCUUCCAGUAGGGGUGGGUCUAAGGCCACAAUGUCGGCCCACCAACAAGAGUAAUUGGUAGAUAAUUGUCUUUGUGAUAAUUAUCUUGUUAUGCUUACAAGAUAUGCUUAUGUGAUAUGCCUAUGAGAUAUGCUUAUGAGAUAUGCUUAUGAGAUAUGCUUAUGUGAUAUGAUAUGUGAGUUAGUUGUGACAUCCCCAAAUUCACGGCCAAAAAAGACCGGUUUAUAUACUUCUAUCUAGCUCCUCUCUUCACCAUCUUUUGGUCAAAAAGAGUUGUUUAUACUUUAUUUCAAAAUCAGAGUAACCUUUUAAUAAAAGAGUUGCGGAAUUUGUCCCAAAACAGUAAUAUGAUAAAGAUUUAUCAAAAGCAUUUCCUUAAAAAUGUAUUUCGUUAAAAGACUCGUGAUGUCAUGUUCGAUACAGUACAUAAGUAUAAACAAUACAAUAUAAGCCUUACUACAUUAUUUCAUAUCUACAGGCUUAUAUCCAUAAUCACACAUCUCAACACAUCACAACUAUGCUCAAGCGCCACUACCUGUAAUACAUAAAACUGAGUGGGUCAGGAUUAGGAGCCUGGUGAGCACAUAGGGUUUUCAACCCACAAUAAAUAGUUUAUUAAUUUCAUCAACCAAAAAUUACUCGAUUACCCGUUCCCGUUAUCCUCACAUUACGUCCCUAAAUACCUAUCAUAAGGGACCUAUCCUAAGGAUCAUCAUCGGGAUGGACAUUACUGCUAAGGGGGUUCCUUAGCAAUAAAUGUCCUAAAGGCAACCAUGUGGGGGAUGAAGUACACCGGUGAAAACAUCGUUCACAACACCUACAUGUUGUCAGCCUACCAGCGUUCCACUGGACUAUCUAGAAGAGUUUGUCGUUGUCAUCUAUACUCCGCUAGAUGACUGGAUCAACAACAACAUCGAGGCCUCUCAUCAUUUUAUCACACAUCGUCUUAUUACAUCUACCCGUGUUUUACCCCAACAUUAUUGUAGAUAUAAAAUACAUAUAUAGUUUAAAUCAUUUAAAACUUGUAUAAAAACAUUCAUCCAGCAUAGAUAGCAAGUAUACAGAUAAUAUGCGCACCUAUCACGUAAUAUAUAGAAUACUUCAUAUCUAUGUGUAAGAUGAAAGUAACUAUACACUUACCUUAGUAGCGGGAGUAGAUAGAAUCUAAAAACGGUCAAUGGCUUGUGAUCGUCGGGCUCGGGAUGCGGAACGACUUCAGAAAACAAGAGAGAGAGAGAGAGAGAGAGAGAGAGAGAGAGAAGGAAGAUUUGGUCUAAGGAUUGAAUGAGCUUUGAUCGCUAUUUAUAGGGUGUUCUGGGGCCAUUCACGUCGUGAACUUCCAAGAGUCAUCCCAUAGCCUUAACGCGUGUUUUCUAGCUCUGAUUAGUGUCUGUUGACUCCUCACGUCGUGCAUUUUUGAUGCUUACGUCGUGAGUACAGUCAAAUUAGGGUUUCUGACAGCUGCAUCUUCGGAAUGUCAUAACUUUUGCAUACGAACUCCGUUUUUAACGUUCUUUAUAUCCACAUGUAGGUGGAGACGUACUCUACAACUUUUAUUUAGAAUCCUAAGGAUAAAAAGUAGUGUAUCAUAAACUAACUUUUUACGUUUUCCUGUGUCGUGCCGGUUUUGACGCGAAACUUCGACAGGUCAUAUCUUCUUCAUUAUAACUCGGAUUUCGGCAUUCUUUAUAUCUCCGGAAUCCUUGUCCCGACCACUACAACUUUCUUCAUAGAUAUUGGACCUAUCUAUUAUUUUAUUUUUGACGCUUAUUUUUAUUCUUAACUUAUUAUAUCUUAUAAUUAAAUAUAAGGCACAUAAAAUCACAUAAUAUUCAAAUAAUUCCUAUUUAUUAUUUCAAAGUAGGUUAUAAGUGUUGACCCUAACUAUUACACCAUUAAAUUAAUGCUUAGCCUAGAAACACGGGCGUUACAAUUCUCUCCUCCUUAGGAUGAUUCCGUCUCGGAAUCAUGCAUCAGCAAAUAGAUGUGGGUAGCGACUAAUCAUGUCACUCUCUGUUUCCCAGGUGAGGUUCGGCCCAUUCGUAUGUUUCCAGCGCAUAAGCACUAAGUCAACCAUCUUGCGGCGCAACUUCUUAGUCUUACGGUCAACAAUCGCCUCAGGCUCUUCAAUUAGCCUCUUAUUUUCAUCCAUCCUUCACUCUGAAAUUGGAAUUAUAUCGGGAAUUUCUCCCGUAAACUUCCUCAAGUAACACACAUGGAAAGUGUUAUGAAUACCAUCUAGUUCUUCCGGUAACUCUAGCUUGUAAGCUUGGUUCUCAAUCCUCUGAAGAACUUUGAAUGGUCCUAUAAACCUUGGACUCAACUUUCCUCUAUUUCCAAAUCGUAUAAGUCCCUUCCAUGGUGAGACUUUGAGUAAAACCGAAUCUCCAACUUCAAAUGUCAGCGGUCGUCUUUUCUUGUCAGCAUAACUCUUUUGACGAUCCUGAGCUGCUAACAUCCUUUCCUUGAUCACUUUCAGCUUUUCAGCAGUCUGAUGGACUAUCUCGGAGCCCGUAAACUACUUUUCUCCAGCUUUAAGCCAACAAGAUGGCGUACGACACUUCUGUCCAUACAAUGCAUCAUAAGGUGCCAUCUUAAUGCUCGAAUGAUAAUUAUUGUUGUAGGAAAACUCAACCAGAGGUAAGUACUCAUCCCAGUUACCUUGGAACUCUUGGGUACAUGCUCUUAGCAUAUCUUCCAAUGUUUGAAUCGUUCUUUUGCUCUGACCAUCAGUCUGUGGAUGGUAAGUUGUACUUAAACACAACUUCGUAUCCAUUUCUUCCUAUAGACUUUUCCAAAACCUUGACGUGAAACGACUAUCACGAUCUGAUACAAUCGUUAAUGGUACACCGUGAAGUCUUACCACUUCCUUCAUGUAAGCAUUUACAAGCUUAUCCAUAGACCAUUUCUCAUUGGAUGCUAUGAAGUGUGCACGCUUUGUGAAACGAUCCACGACUACCCAAAUCAUGUCCCGACCGUUCUUCGUUUUGGGUAGUUUAGUCACAAAAUCCAUGGUGAUAUCUUCCCAUUUACCCAUAGGUAUAGGUAAAGGUUCUAAACUCCAAUACGGUUUAUAAUGUUGUGCCUUAACCCUUGCACAUGUUACACAUUCAGCCACAUACUUUGCAAUAUCGAGCUUCAUCGUCAGCCACUAAUAGUAGGGUUUCAAAUCCCUAUACAUUUUAGUGCUACCUGGAUGAAUCGAGUACAUGGUUUUGUGAGCUUCUUCCAUCAGAAGAUCCCUUAUUCCUCCCAUAUUAGGUACCCAAAUUCUAUCUUGGAAUACCUUCAAUCCUUGUUUAUUUGUACCGAAUACCAACGUUUUGCCUAAACAUUCUUCCUUUCGGUCAUUUUUCUCCAAAGCUUCUUCCUGAGUUUUCUUGAUACUUUCCACAAUCGUCGAGACAACUUCAAUUCGUAACGAUCUUGGCCUUUUUCUUUCAAAGUUUACUUUUCGACUUAGAGCAUCAGCUACAACAUUUGCUUUACCAGGGUGGUAAAGUAUCUCACAGUCGAAAUCUUUGAGUAACUCUAUCCAACGUCAUUGUCUCAUGUUCAAUUCCUUCUAAUUAAAGAGAUACUGGAGACUCUUAUGAUCAGUGAAAAGUUUGCACUUCGUGCCAUAGAGGUAAUGCCUCCAUAUCUUUAGGGCAAAAACUACCGCUGCCAACUCCAGAUCAUGAGUGGGGUAGUUCUUUUCAUGCUCCUUUAAUUGUCGAGAUGCAUAUGCUAUCUCCUUUUCUCUUUGAGUUAGAACACAUCCUAACCUUACUCUCGACGCAUCACUAUACACUGCGAAAUCUUCAACUCCAUCGGGUAGAGAAAGAAUUGGUGCUUCACACAAUUUCUUCUUUAGUUUCUUGAAUGCCUCAUCGUGUUUCUCACUCCAUGCAUAUGUGGCUCCUUUAUGGGUCGAAGCUGUCAAUGGAGCAGCUAUCGAAGAAAAUCCUUGGAUAAAACUUCGGUAAUAUCCAGCUAAUCCCAGAAAGCUUCGAAUCUCCGUGGGACUUUUUGGUCGUUCCCACUUCAUUACUGCUUCUAUCUUUGCUGGGUCAACCAUUAUUCCCUCUUGGUUAACCACAUGACCCAAAAAUUGGACUUCUCGAAUCCAGAAAUCACAUUUGGAGAACUUAGCAUACAACUUCUCCUUCUUCAGAACUUCUAAUACUUCUCUCAGGUGCUUGCCAUGCUCCUGCUGACUCUUUGAGUAUAUUAGAAUGUCAUCUAUGAACACUAUUACAGAUUUAUCGAGGAAUGGUUUACAAACCCUAUUCAUCAAAUCCAUAAACGCCGCUGGAGCAUUGGUCAGUCCAAAUGACAUAACUAAGAACUCGUAGUGUCCAUAUCUUGUUCUGAAUGCAGUCUUCUCAUAAUCUGGCUCUCUCACCUUCAGCUGAUGAUAUCCUGACCUAAGAUCGAUCUUUGAGAAAUAGUUCGAACCUUGCAACUGAUCGAAUAGGUCAUCAAUCCUUGGAAAUGGAUACUUGUUCUUCACGGUUUCCUUGUUCAGCUCUCGGUAGUCUAUACACAUCCUCAUGCUUCCGUCCUUCUUUACAAAUAUCAUCGGAGCUCCCCAGGGUGAUGAACUAGGUCUAAUAAAACCUUUUUUAAUAACUCCUGAAGUUGUGUCAUAAGCUCCUUCAUCUCCGUCGGUGCUAGUCGGUAUGGUGCUUUCGCUAUUGGUGUUGAUCCUGGCGACAAGUCUAUUCGAAACUCCCCUUGUCUAUCAGGGGGCAAUCUAGGAAGAUCUUCGGGAAAGACUUUUGGAUAGUCACACACCACGGGUAUACUUUGUAUCUCCUUCUUAGUAUUAGUCACAAAUGCCAAGUAUGAUGUGCAUCCUUUGGACAAACAUUUUCUGGAUUUAAUCAAGGAAAUGAUUCCAGAAUUUACUCUGUGUUUGUCCCCGUAAACCAUAAAUGACUCUUUUCCAGACGGGUUUACUCUUACCAUCUUCUUCUUGCAGAGUAUCUCAGCAUCGUACGUACUAAGCCAAUCCAUUCCUAACACGAUGUCGAAACCAUUCAACUCAAUGGGCAGUAAUUCCUCGUGGAAUUUAUUCUCGUUCAAGUCGAUGAUGAUAUUUUUAAUGUAAUUACUAACAGGUAUGAACUUGCCAAUGGCAACUUCUACAAUUAUAGUAUUAUUAAGUUUAUCUAUAGGCAAUGCAGGUCUUCUACCAAAAUUAUGUGAUAUAAAUGAGUAGUUUGCUCCUGAAUCAAAUAAUAUAUCGGCAGGCAAUCCAUUUACGAGAAAGGUACCUAAAGCGACAUCUGCUUCAUCUCUUGCUGCUUCCAGUGUCAUCUGGAAAGCUCUGGCUUUCGGUUUCGGUGGGACAUUGGGCCUUGUUGCCUCCUUCUUCUUCGAACAGUCUUUCAAGAGGUGCCCUUCUUCAUUACACCUAUAACAAACUUUCUUGUCGAGGUUGCAUUCAUUGGCAUAGUGCCCAAGCUUUCCACACUUAAAACAAGUGACUCCUUCGUCACAUUUCCCUAAGUGCUUCUUCUUGAACUUCUCACACCAUUUUGCUUCACCUCCUCUUCCUCCAAACUUCUUCGAAUAAGACUUCGAAAAUUUACUUUUCUUGUUGGACCCUAAAGAUUCAUCCAACUUCCUUUUAUCACCAACUUCAACCUUGCUGGAGGCUCUUCCCUUGAUCAUCUCCUCAACAGACUUAGCAGCCCAGAUAGCUGCCUCCAGAGUAGGUUCCUGACGUACUGGCACUGCGUACUCCCAUGGAAGUCCCUUUGCGUACUUGUUGACUUUUUUCAAUUCAUCUGGGACGAUGCACAAAGAAAACUCCAUUUUUUCUGUGAAGGCAUUGGUGUAUUCAUCAAUGGACAUGUUGUCCUUCUUUAACGUUAGGAAUUGGUUUUCCAGCUCUAGCAGAUUUUGGGCCGAGCAGAACUUGCGUUUGAAGUAUACUAAGAACUCUGCCCAUGUCAGUUGUAAUGGCUCGUUGAGGCUUAUGGUCUUCCCCAGAGUGUUCCACCAGCGAACAGCGCCACCUCUAAACUGACGUACUGCAUAUGUGGUUUGUAGUUUGCCCUUGCAAUCACAUGUUAUGAAAGCCAAUUCCAUCUCCGAGAUCCAAUCCAUAACUCCAAUUGGAUCUUCUUCCCCAGUGAAAGUCGAUGGCUUGCAAGUUGUGAAGUCCUUAUACUUGCAUCCAUUCCUCUCGACUCUUUCAUCUUGGUUGUUCCUCCUAACCACUGGCGGUUCAGCUUGACUAACAAUCCUACUGUAAUUCCCUUCUUCUGACUGUUCGUCAUUCAUCUCAGGCUGUUCAACAGGUAUCGUAGGUUCACCACUAUUCUGUUGAAGUAAACGCCUUGUCUCCUCCAUCUCGAUCCAACANCAACAUGAUCUGGAUCAUAGCUUGUACCCCAGCCAUCGUCAUUGGCUCAGGUGCAGCUGCUACAACUGGUACUUGUUCAAUCACUUGGGGUUGAGGCUGUUGAUUGUCAUUUACAUUGGCAUUUUUUACUCCACUUCGGGUUCUUGCCAUGAUGGUCUAUACACCAAAUCAGACGUUCAGUGUGUAGUGAUGAGAAUUAAGAUAGGAAAACCUUAUCUACGAUAGACGUAUUAAAUCCUCCUUAUUACUCCAAAACGUUUACAUGUUAGGUCUAAUAUCAUAGUCAAACAUUUACAAUCCUAAACACAUAAAGUUUGUAGAUUCGGUCGGCAAUAGACCAUAGAUCCGAACAAAUAAUAGCAUAUAAGGCAUCUUUAUAGUUAUAGCUAUAACACAAAGCAUUUAGCACAUAAAAGCAUUUUAGGCAUCUUUCCUAAAAUAAACUAGUGCUCGUGUCUAAAAUUUAGCAGGCACUCAUCUCACAAUCAUCACUUAGCAUUCUAAGUUUAAGUCUAGAAAUCCUACAAUUUCCUAGUUCGCUUAAACUAGUGCUCUGAUACCAACUGUGACAUCCCCAAAUUCACGGCCAGAAAAGACCGGUUUUGUUUAUACUUUAUUUCAAAAUCAUAGUAACCUUUUAAUAAACGAGUUGUGGAAUUUGUCCCAAAACAAUAAUAUGAUAAAGAUUUAUCAAAAGCAUUUCCUUAGAAAUGUAUUUCAUUAAAAGACUCGGGAUGUCAUGUUCGAUACAGUACAUAAGUAUAAACAAUACAAUAUAAGCCUUACUACAUUAUUUCAUAUCUACAGGCCUAUAUCCGUAAUCCCUCAUCUCAACACAUCACAACUAUGCUCGAGCGCCACUACCUAUAAUACAUAAAACUGAGUGGGUCAGGCUUGGGAGCCUGGUGAGCACAUAGGGUUUUCAACCCACAAUAAAUAGUUUAUUAAUUUCAUCAACCAACAAUAACCCGAUUACCCGUUCCCGUUAUCCUCACAUUACGUCCCUAAAUACCUAUCAUAAGGGACCUAUCCUAAGGAUCAUCAUCGGGAUGGACAUUACUGCUAAGGGGGUUCCUUAGCAAUAAAUGCCCUAAAGGCAACCAUGUGGGGGAUGAAGUACACCAGUGAACACAUCGUUCACAACACCUACAGGUGGCGAGCCUGCCAGCGUUCCACUGGACUGUCUAGAAGAGUCUGUGGUUGUCAUCUAUACUCCACUAGAUGACUGGAUCAACAACAACAACAUCGAGGCCUCUCAUCAUUUUAUCACACAUCGUCUUAUUACAUCUACCCAUGUUUUACCCCAACAUUAUUGUGGAUAUAAAAUACAUAUACAGUUUAAAUCAUUUAAAACUUGUAUAAAAACAUUCAUCCAGCAUAGAUAGCAAGUAUACAGAUAAUAUGCGCACCUAUCACGUAAUAUAUAAAAUACUUCAUAUAUAUGUGUAAGAUGAAAGUAACUAUACACUCACCUUAGUAGUGGGAGUAGAUAGAAUCUAAAAACGGUCAGCUCGUGAUCAUUGGGCUCGGGACGCGGAACGACUUCAGAAAACAAGAGAGAGAAGGAAGAUUUGGUGUAAGGAUUGAAUGAGCUUUGAUCGCUAUUUAUAGGGUGUUCUGGGGCCAUUCACGUCUUGAACAUGAUAGGUUCAUGUCGUGAACUUCCAUGAGUCAUACCAUAGCCUUAACGCGUGUUUUCUAUCUCCGAUUAGUGUCUGUUGACUCCUCACGUCGUGAAUUUUUGAUGCUCACGUCGUGAGUUCAGUCAAAUUAGGGUUUCUGACAGCUACAUCUUCGGAAGGUCAUAACUUUUGCAUACGAACUCCGUUUUUGACGUUCUUUAUAUCCACACGUAGGUGGAGACGUACUCUACAACUUUCAUUUAGACUCCUAAGGAUAAAAGGUAAUGUAUCAUAAACUAACUUUUUACGUUUCCCAGUAUCGUGCCGGUUUUGACGCGAAACUUCGACAGGUCAUAUCUUCUUCGUUAUAACUCGGAUUUCGGCGUUCUUUAUAUCUCCGGAAUCCUUGUCCCGACCACUACAACUUUAUUCAUAGAUAUAGGACCUAUCUAUUAUUUUAUUUUUGACGCUUAUUUUUAUUCUUAACUUAUUAUAUCUUAUAAUUAAAUAUAAGUCACAUAAAAUCACAUAAUAUUCAAAUAAUUCCUAUUUAUUAUUUCAAAGUAGGUUAUAAGUGUUGACCCUUACUAUUACACCAUUAAAUUAAUGCUUAGCCUAGAAACACGAGCAUUACAUUAGUGGUAGUAGCAGGGAAUAGCUUUUCCUUGAGUUGGUCGUUAGGACCGAAGGGUAGGUCAGUACCCCAGAUAUGCCUGACCGUAUGAUUAUAUUUUGUUAUUGUAUGAUAGAGGUAGGGGUGAAAUAAUCCGCGAUGCCAAUUGAGAUAGACUAGAGGGAAGUCGGCACCCCAGAACGGACUGACAUGGGUAGGUCAGCACCCCGUAAUGGCUUGACAUGGGUAGGUCAACACCCUAGAAUGGCUUGACAUGGGGUAGGUCGGGCACCCCAGAAAUGCCCGGUAGUAUGUAUGGUAUGUGGUAUGAUGGGGGAACUCACUAAGCUUUGUGCUUACAGUUUCAGUUUUGGUUCCAGGUAUCUCUUCGUCUAAGGGGAAGGAGUCGGCGGUGUAGCAGCGCGUCACACACACAUAUGUUUUUCGAAUUGAGUUUCUAGGAUUGUACUCUGAUUUAUAUUACUUAUGUUGAGAUGGCUUCCGAACACGUUGUUAUAGUUUUUAUAAAAUGACAUGAUGUUGGUAAUGUUUUGGAAAACUAUGUUGGAAGUAUUUAUUUAAAAAUGAAAUUUUUGGCCUCGAAAAUUGGGAUGUUACAAUUUCUCCUUUAAUAUAUUAUUCAUAUAAUAUAUUAAUAAACCAUAAUAACCUCAAUCUAUCCAUAAAUCAUCCUAUCAAGUUGCUUUAGUGAAGGCAACCCAAAAGGGUCAUGCACAACCGAGUCAAGUACAUACCAAAUAUAGUUACGGGCUUAGACACUAAUCCAACAGUCUCCCACUUGGAUAAGCCUAGUAACUAUAAGUGCAAGUACUAUCCGAUUAGCAAUCAUAGCUCUCAAAGACGCUAUCGAACUCUGAUCUUAUCAGUAACCUGUCCUUUUGAUAAGGGAUCGUAUAUUCCUCCGUUCUAGAUAUCAUGCGGAAAAUUACAUGGAACAUAGUCAUACUUAUUGUCUAACAGUUUAUUUCUCGAUCUCUGAUUCGUCUGACAUAGAACUUAAAUGAACACAUCAAUUCAGUCCUGACCAGGCCCGACACAUAAGUCAAACCAAAACAUCGAGGGGCCCAUAUAUGGCUUUUACCCUCUUAGGAGAAAAGGAAUAGAUAAACUUCGACUUAUAUGCAUUUACCAUUCACUCAUCAAAUCAUGCAUAACAAUGCAUUUUAUAACAUCAAGUUACUGAUGCAUUUACGCAUUAUCAAUGCACAACCAACUUGCAAACAAUAAACCAUAUAUCUAGGUUUUAAGACCAUAUGAUAUUAUCGUCUUGCGAUCACUCGAGAUACAUUCCAUGAAGUGAUACCAGCAAGCGCGGGUUUAAUACAAUGCUCAAAUCUUAUUCAUAAGCACUCAUGAACGUUUCAGCAAACCUUUCCUAUGUCUAAUACACUUUAGACAAUCUACAAACCAAUUCAUGACAAUCUUCUUUCAUACCUACUCCCAAAGUAUGAGAAUGUUCGAAUAAUCUUAUUAUUCAGGAAGUCAAAACAUGCAAAGUGAAACAAUAGGCAAACAAUCAACAUAAGACAGUAACUUUACUUAUAUAUAAUACUCCUUUAUUUAAUCAUCAAAUGUCAAUUACAUUUAUCUAUUACACGUUUCGAAACUAUCUAAUCUAAACUAAUAUCGUCCUACAACCUGAUGCUCCUAGAGUGUUGCAAGUGCUUAACCCUACUCAGUCCCUUCGUAAGGGGAUCUGCUGGGUUAUCCUCCGACGAUACCCUCUUUACUACGUGGAGUCCCUCUUCCACCUGAUGUCGAAUAAAAUGAUAUUUCCUAUCGAUAUGUCGAGAUUUGCCAUGAUCCCUCAGUUCCUUGGUCAAGGAAACCGCUCCUUCAUUAUCACAAAAAAUUUCCAUGGGCUCCUUUAUGGCUAGCACAAUCCAAGGUCGCCAAUGAAGUUCUUCAACCAUAUCGCCUCCUUUAAUGCUUCGCACGCCGUUAUGUACUCUAAUUCGCACGUUGAAUCAGCUACGGUCUCCUUCUUAGAACUUUUCCAAGUCACUGCUCCUCCAUUUAGGGUAAAGACCCAGCCCAACUGCGAACGGUAUUUGUCCCUAUCGGUCUGAAAACGAGCGUAACUAUACCCUCACACCCUUAAGUCAUUACUCCUACCGAGGACUAGUAACCAUUCCUUGGUCCUCCAAAGGAACUUAAGAAUAUUCUUGACUGCGGUCCAAUGUGUUUUGCUAGGGUUCCCUUGAUAUCAGCUGACCACUCUCAAAGCGAAGGCCACAUCAAGGUGAGUACAAGUCAUCGCAUACAUGAUCGAGCCAACUGCGAAAGCGUAAGGGACUUGGCCCAUCUCUGCUAUCUCGACUUCGGUACUCGAGCUUUGAGUCUUACUGAACUUGGCAUUACUUUGGAUUGGUAACUCCCCUUUCUUAGAAUUCUCCAUACUAAAACGUUUUAGUACCUUGUCCAAGUAAGUAUUCUGACUAAACCCUAUUAGCCUUUUACUCCUGUUUCUCACUAUCCUUAUUCCCAGAAUAUAGGCAGUCUCUCCGAGGUCCUUCAUAGCGAAACACUUCCUAAGCCAGGACUUGACUUCCUGCAGGGUCGGGAUGCCGUUUCCUAUGAGUAGUAUGUCAUCGACAUACAAUACGAGGAAGCUAACUAUACUCCCACUAGUUUUGACAUAUACACAUGAUUCAUCCUCACUUUGCAGAAAACCAAACUCUUUGAAUUUCUCAUCGAAACAAAGAUUCCAUCUGUGAGAUGCUUGUUUCAUUCCAUAAAUGGACUUCUCAAGCUUACACAAUCUAUUUGGGUUCUUCGCAUCGAAAAAACCCUCUGGCUAACUCUUGUAAACAUCCUCAGCCAACUUUCCGUUAAGGAAAGCGAUUUUGACAUCCAGCUGCCAUAUAUCAUAGUCAUGAAAUGCAGCAAUGGCUAGCACCACCCUAAUAGACUUUAUCUUCGCAACUGGUGAGAAGGUCUCAUCAUAGUCAACUCCAGGAGUUUGAGUAAAGCCCUUUUUCAACCUAUCAUGCUUUAUAAGUAUGUACCUUCCCAUCCAUGUUGGUCUUCUUCUUAAAUAUCCACUUGCACACGACCGUCUUACGACCUGGCACAUUGUCAGCCAAAUUCCAAACUUGGUUGUCAUACAUGGACUGAAUCUCAUUGUCCAUAGCCUCUUUCCAUUUUGCGGACUCCGGGCCUGCCAUGGCUUCCUUGUAGCUAUUAGGUUCAUCCAAAUUUAUUAGUGUACUAUCACUAAUAAACGUAUCACCUUCACUUGUUAUAUGAAAACCAUAAAACAAAGGAGGAACACUAACUCUACUGGAACGUCUAAGAGGUAAGGAUUUGUCAUUCGGUUCAACCAGAGUUUCCUCCUCGGGUUGAGAGCCAGCGUUAAAGGUUCCUUCAUCGCUCGACUCUUGAAGCUCUUCAAGAUCGAUUUUCCUCCCACUGUCCCCUUGGCUUAUGAGUUCCCGCUCUUGGAAAUCCCCUCUCCUUGCAACAAAGACAACAUUGUCACUCGGUCUAUAGAAGAGAUAUCCAAAGGACUUCUGCGGAUAGCCGAUGAAAAUACACCGCUCACUUCGAGGUUCGAGCUUUUCGUGAGUCUCUUGCCUUACGAAAGCCUUGCAACCCCAAACCUUGAUAUUUGCCAACGAUGGAGCUUUCCUUGUCCACAUCUCAUGAGGUGUUUUGGCAACCUUAUUUUUAGGGACUAAGUUAAGAAUAUGGGUGGUAGUCUCUAAGGUAUACCCCUAAAAAGAGAUAGGUAGUGAAGCACGACUCAUCAUGGAACGAACCAUGUCUAGCAAGGUUCGAUUACGCCUCUCAGCCACACCUUUCAACUGUGGUAUCCUAGGUGGCGUCAAUUACGAAACGAUUCUGCAUUCCUUGAGGUAGUCAUGGAAUUCAAGACUAAGGUACUCUCCACCUCGAUCAGAUCGAAGCAUCUUGAUUUUCCUGCCCAAUAGAUUCUUCACUUCUUGCUUAAACUCUUUGAACUUUUCAAUGGUUUCUACUAUAAUCAUUGGUGAAAGUCACAUAGAAGCAGCUUGCAUUCCUUGUGGUGGAUCUAAAGGGCCCACACACAUCGGUGUGUAUGAGAUCCAAUAAACCCUUACCCCUCUCACAAGUACUAGUGAAGGGUGACUUGGUUAUCUUUCCAAGCAAACAAGACUCUCACACGUCAUCGUCCCUAAGGUCGAAUGACUCCAACUCUCCAUCCUUUUGGAGUUGGGUUAUGCGCUUCUUGUUGACAUGUCCAAGACGACAAUGCCACAAGCAUGCUUUGUCCAAACUAUUGGAAGAUUCGAUGUGCAACACAUCAUUUCCUAAGUUGUCUACAACCAUCAUAGUUUCAUAUAUUCCAUUACAAGGCAAUGCUUCAAAAUAGAAAACAUCAUUAAGAUAAGCAUUAAUAGAACCUUUUUCAUUAUCAAAUGAAUAUCUAAAUCCUUGUCUAUACAAACCGUGAAAAGAAAUGAUGUUUCUUGCCAUUUCUAGAAAAUAGAAACAAUUAUUCAAAUCGAGUCCUAAUCCAUUACUAAGCACAAAAGAGUAAACUCCAAUCUUGGUGACAGGCGAUGAUCUUCUGUUCCCCAUGAUCAAGUCUAUUUUCCCAUGCUCCACAUCCCUAUUUCUUCUUAUGUCCUGCAAGUCAGAACAAAUGUGAAAACCACAUCCUGUAUCAAGUACCCAAGAAAUAGCAUGUGAUGAAUCAUUAGAUUGAAUAGUAUAAAUACCUGCGAAGGAUGGCUUGAUCUUUCCAUCCUUGAUGUCUUGCAGAUAUUUCAGGCAGCUUCGUUUCCAAUUCCCCUUCUCAUGGUAGUAGUAGCACUCUGCAUCCUUUGGGUUGGAGGUGGGUCCAGCAGAACCAGCCUUGGUUCCACUCGAAGAGGUGUUGUCAUGGGACUUUCCCUUAUGGUGGCUCUUUGAGGGAGCCUUCCUCUUCUUACCCUUUCCUUGCCUAAUAGCCAAGAUGGGGGCAGUAGUAGGAUUAGGAGUAGGGUUUUGUGCAACGGACUUGUCCUUGAGGUUGCUAAGGAGCAGUCCUUAAUAGACCUUGAAGCUUGCUCAAUGUGACCUCCUCUUUGUUCAUGUGGUAGGUCAUGUGAAACUAGUUGAAGCAGGGUGGCAGUGAAUGAAGGAUGAUGUCAAUCAACAACUCUUCAUCGAAGUUAACAUUUAACUUUAUCAGGCGGUCAACAUACCUCUACAUCUUCUGCAGAUGAGCAGUGACAGACUCUCCGUCUCUCAUCUUGGUCAUGAUCAUCGAAGUGAUGAUCUCGUACCUCUCCUGCCUCUCACUUUGGUGAUACCUUUCAACCAAGUCCUGAUGCAUUUCGUAGGGAUAGAAGUCCUCGUAGAACUUUUGGAGUUCAGCAGUCAUGGUUGCUAGCAUGAUGCAAUGGACUUUCGUGGCAUCACGCUCAUGGGCAUCGAAGGGAGCAUAUCACAUAUCACAAUAAAUCUCAACACAUAAAUAGCAUACAAAUACUCUGGCACGUAAUUCUAAAAAUACCACAUAUAACACAUAUUAGCCACUCGAGGCUAUAACUCUAUGGGCCUUUGGGUCCUAACUCUAUGGACCCUCUGGUCCUAGCUCUGUGGACCUUUCGGUCCUAACUCUGAUAUACACACAGCUUAAAUCACAUAGAAAUAAUGCAGUGCCAUAAAUCACAUAGAUAGCAUACAAUAACUUUGUCACAUAACUCUAAGAUACACUGUCACAUAACUUUGUUACCACUCUAGGUAAAGUAUAGUGAGAAGACUCACCUCAAACGAAGUCGAAUGAACUCUCGUUCUCAACGUCCCAACUUGGCCUCCUCCUAUUAUUCAAAUAACAUCCCCGAUCAAUACUCUCUCAUUAUCUCAGCUCUAAAGAUUGGGUAGAAGACCAUUUUAUCCUUCCCUGAACUCUCUAAAGUCAGUCUUGACCAAAACCCUAAAAUCAACGAAAGUCAACGGUCAAACUUUGACCCGACUCGUCGAGUGCACAUGGGCGACUCGGCGAGUCCAUACGUGUCCACGGAAUCCUCCUCCUAGCCUCGCUUGACACGUCGGCCAGCCCCUUACUCGACGAGUUACACCUGGUAUGAAUCGCGGGGCAACCCCGACUCGACUCGUCAAGUCCGCUCAUGAACUCGGCGAGUUGCUCCCAUGACAACACUCAUCUGACCUUCUGAGGUCAGAUCCACUCCUCUAAUCCAUAGAUCUGACUUCCCUAUGACCAAUAACCACAUAAAGGUCGAAUCUUGGUACACAUGCAAGGCUCUCUAUGCUUAUUUUGGUGAAAUCCUUCAUAUCAUGACAACCCUAGCUCAUAACUCCAAGGGAAAGGCAUAAAGCAGAAUGGAAGGGACUCUCUGGACCUCUCAAGGUCUAGAUCCAUGAAUCAUUUCACCAUGGGACCUCUCAUACUCUAGAUUCAAGCUAAAUAAAGCAUGAAGAAACCCUAGAUUCAUGAAAUCUACUAAACAAAUGAAGAUAGACAUGAAUCCUUACCUCUCACAGCAGCUCUGAACGAAAUGAUGGGAGAUUUGAGUCCCACAAGACAGCCCAACUCGAAAUCCUUCCUUCCCUUUGCUAAGACACUCCAAAGGAUGAUGAAUUAGCCCUCCUCUUGCACUACAAGCUUCCUCUCUGCUCUCCAUGUUUUCUCAGGGUGUAGUGUUCGCAAAUGAAGGCCAUAAGGACCUUUAAAUAGGUCCCAAACCCGAGAAAUUAGGGUUUCUCUGCCCAGCACCUACUCGGCGAGUCCAUCCUCUGACUCGCCGAGUCCACUCAUUAAACCCGUGUGAGAAAACCCGUCUCGACUCGGCGAGUUGGAUCCUCAACUCAUCGAGUCUCUCCUUUAAUCAAAAGAUUAAACUACACAAUAAUAACCCUGAAAAUCCGGAUGUUACAGUUCACAGCCCAAAACCAACUAUCACACAAUUGACAGUUUCAGUCCUCUUUAUUUAAUUAAUCUCUUUUAGCCACAAAAUUAACUCUUGACUAAUAUUAAUUAAACUAUAUGAUUUCUCCUUUAAUAUAUUAUUCAUAUAAUAUAUUAAUAAACCAUAAUAACCUCUCUCUCUCUCUCUAUCUCCAUAAAUCAUCUUGUCAAGUUGCUUUGGUGAAGGCAACCCAAAAAGACCAUGCACAACCGAGUCAAGUACAUACCAAAUAUAGUUACGGGCGUAGACACUAAUCCAACAAUUAUAUGGUAUGUGGUAUGAUGGGGGAACUCACUAAGCUUUGUGCUUACAGUUUUCAGUUUUGGUUUUAGGUACUUCUUCCUCGAAGGGAAAGGAGUCGAUCCGGUAGCAGCUUAUCACACAUACAUAGGAUUUCCGCAUUAUGAGAUUCUUGGGAUUGUACUCUGCCAUUAUUACUUUUUUAUAUAUAUGGCUUUGAGACAUGUGACUAUGGUUUUAUGAAAUGAUGUGACUCGAUGAUGUUUUUUGAUAAAUGUUUUUCUAAAUUGUUAUAUCAAAAAUGAAUUUUUUUAGUCUGUAUUUUUGAGAUGUUACAUGGUAUUUUCCUAUCACAAAGAAAUUUUGCAUUACAAUUGGUUGAUGAUGUUGGUUUGUUAGCUUCUAAACCAGUUAACACACCUAUGGAUCCAAGACAAGUGUUGAAUGAUUUUAUUGGUGAAUUACUGGAAGAUCCAACUAAAUACAGGUGUUUAGUUGAUAGACUCCUAAAUCUUAACAUCACUAGGCCUGACAUGGAUUUUAUUGUUCAGCCACUCUCAUAGUUUAUGUCUAAUCCUCGUACUCCUCAUAUGGUGGCAGCAAAACAUUUGUUAAUAUACUUAAAACAAAGCCCAUGCCAAAGACUAUUCUUUUCAAGCAAGUUUAAUCUCCAACUACAAGUAUUUUGUGACUUUGAUUGGGGUAGAUGUCUUGAUACAAGGCGUUCCAUUUCUAGCUUUUUCAUAUUCUUAGGUCAUUCAUUGGUGUCUUGGAGAUCAAAGAAGCAGCCCAUUAUUGCUCGAUGCUCUACUGAAGUUGAAUACAAGGCAAUGGCAUCUACGACUUGUGAGACCACUUGGUUAAAACAACUUCUCAAAGAUUUUGAUGUCAUUCAUAAAGUGUCAGCAUUAAUGUUUUGUGACAAUGAUGAUCUUAUCAAAAUUGACACAAACCGUACUUUCCACGAACGAACCAAACAUAUCGAGAUCGAUUGCCAUUUUGUUCGUGAAAAGGGCCUUGAUCCCACUGUCAGACUUAUGCCCAUUCGAUCUGUAUUUUAAUUUGCAUAUAUGUUCACCAAGCCUUUUCCAGCUACAAAGAUUGAGCCUUUUAUGUUCAAGAUGCAUCUGUAUAUUCUCCAAAUAUAUCUUGAGGGGGAAUAUUAGAGGUUGUUAGAAAAGUUGUUACUAUUAGUUGUUUAAGUUAAUCGUUUAGGGGUAAAUAGACUUUUUACUAUUAUGUUAGUUAGCAUCUUAGUUGUUAGUUAGUUUGGUUAAAUCAUUAUAUAAAAGGUAGGAGAUGUAAUUCAUUUCUGUUAAUUCAAUUCAAUGAGAAGAUUCUUUUUUUUUUCUCCAUUUCAUUUUUACUACAUAAUAUACAACAUAUGAAGCAAAUAUAUGAUAGAGUGUUACCACUAGAAACGGUCCAAACAUAGAUAGUUAAUAACACUUUAUUCGGAUUUAUAUACCAAAAAACUCCCUUACACCCCCAUAAAUUUAAUGAAAUUUUUUAAUUUCAUCACGUUUUCGGAUGGUAUGACUUACAUGAUUAUAAGUUGGUUAUAGAGCUCUCUUUUUUUAACAACCGAAUAUUAGAACUAGCAAGAAGAUAGAAAAAGAACAAUUACAAAGAUAAAGAAGAGGGUUUUGAAACCAAUGACUCCAAAAAAUUAUGCCCUUCUUGUUUCUAUAAAUAUACUUUGAAAAAGGACCUCACGAAGAGGAGUAUUAUUUCCAAACACCACCUCAUUACAAAAUUUCCAAAGGAUACAGUGGACCACUCCCAUAAUACCUUCCAAAGGUAAUUUUCAAUUUUUUCUGUAAGUGCAAGUCAUCAAACCAAUUGUGCACUUCACAUAUAGAGAUCUCUUGAGGGACUUAAUAACUCUAGGCCAAUAAAAGAUAUCAAAAGGAAUACUUCAUUGUAUGACUACUCAAUACUCAUAUAUAAUGUGCAUGCUAUUUGAUUAUUAUAACGUAAUAUUUAACCGUCAUCACUUGAGUUUGAGUAAACAAUACAUCGAGAAUUUUCAUUUGACAUGAUCUAAUAAUUUCAAAGUAACUACAGUAUAGUUAAUGAAACUAACUUAUGUUAUUACUUCAAUGUAACUUUUAAUUGGUAAUUUUAAUAGUUUAGUUUAAUUUAUUAUUAGUCAUUUACAUCACCUAAAUCACUUAUUAAUUUCAAAAUAAUUCAUAUGGCUGGCAAACAAAUAGUGGUCAACCAAGGCACUCAAGAUGCAGAAUCCUUCAAUACAUACUUUUUGGAAAAUCCAACGACCAAACCAAUCACCCACAAAUUCGACUAUUGAGAGACAAACCUUAAUUCGCUACGAGGCUCGGAUUGCGUGCAGACUAACAAUUUGUUGUAAGUUGGGACUUGCUCUGGACAGCCCAAAGACUUCCCAAUCCAAUAUGAUUCGAUCUGAAGUCUUUUUUAUUAUGGGUUUGAUUGUGUUUCCGACAUCUAUAUGUUGGAUAUGUUUUUUUUUUUUUUUUUUUUUGUCUAAGUUACAAAUCAGUCUAUUCACUUGAGCAAAAACUUACGUCAUAACGUGCUAAGGCACACAUUGACACAUUAUUUGGACGUUGCACCUAACAAACUCACCUUAAACGUUUCGUAAUGGCUACACUACAUCUCACGUCACGCCCUUAAUGCACACCAUGGCAUGCCUUUUAAAACCAUGGUAUGAUUCAUAUUCGCCUAAUGGCCUCUGGUUUAGGUUUUAAAUAGGCCUAAAGGGCUAAAACGAUCAUGGGUGUUGGGCCAUCGGCCCAAAUUUUGUUCAAAUAUAUGGACCUGUUAGAAAAAUCAAAAUUCGACGACGUCGUAUCGCUUUUCAUCUGGCUUUUGUCCGACUGCAGUGAUUACUCAACUCCUACUCGGAGACUUUCCUCUUUGGCUCUCUCGUCCUGCAAUAGCAAUUCGUCACAACCAGAGAUCGGCGGUGGAAGUGGUUGAAGUUGAAUAUCUCCGGCGCUAUCCAAUCCAGGUACAUGCUCGCAUUUCCUGUAGUAAGUUUAUGACCCAAUUUAGUAUUUCAUCCGAAACUAGGUCUCAUUUUUGUUCGAUCGGGAAAUUAUAGAUGUUAAACUUCAUUAUUAUAGGCUCCAAGAUUGAAUAUAGGGUGACCUGCUAUCCGUGUUCAAUAGCUAACCAACAAAUCGUAUACCUCCGAUGGCUCCCGCCGUUCCAAGAUCCGGUGACGCUAUUUUCGCCAACGUCGAGCGCGUGGUAAUUUUUCUGUCUAUGAAGUUACGAUUCUGGUUCCGAAACUGAAUUUUUUUUUCGAUCUGGAAAUUACGAGAAUUUUAUCGUAAUUUGUGGGUUUUGAAUUUUGAUCGUUCGCAGAACGCCGAGCUGUUCACUCUGACAUAUGGAGCGAUCGUGCGACAAUUGCUUACAGAUCUGGAGGAGGUUGAGGAAGUCAAUAAGCAGCUCGAUCAAAUGUAUCUAUAUUCUUCUAUAAAAUUCUUUUCGCUUACAACUUCAUACAUCUACGCAGCUUCUGUAUUCUUCUUCUGCUAUACUCAUUGAUCUUUUGUUCUAUGAUCAGGGGUUACAAUAUUGGAAUCCGGCUAAUUGAUGAGUUUCUUGCAAAAUCUAAUGUCACAAGAUGUGUUGAUUUUAGGGAGACAGCUGAAGUCAUAGCAAAGGUACACACUUAAAAUCUUCUCUCGUUGCCAUUGAUGAUGGAUGAUCUAUCAACAAUCUUAGACGCUCUUUGUGUUCUUGCUCUAUGAUUCCAAACAGGUUGGCUUCAAAAUGUUCUUAGGGGUCACUGCAUCUGUGACAAACUGGGAUAAUGAAGGAACUUGUUGCAGUCUCAUUUUGGAAGAUAAUCCACUUGUGGAUUUUGUUGAGCUUCCAGAUAAUUGUCAAGGUUUAUAUUACUGCAACAUCUUAAGUGGAGUUGUCAGGGGAGCCCUAGAGAUGGUAUGUGACUCUAUGUUCUAAUAACCAAAUUCCUGAAAUACCCUUUUCACAUUCAGAUUAAAGCAAGUUUCAUUGACUUAAAAAUAUUUUCCCACAUGUUUAGGUGUCAAUGAAGACUGAAAUCACAUGGAUUAGGGAUAUGCUUAGAGGAGAUGAUGCAUUUGAGUUACAAGUGAAGCUUCUUAAACAAGUUCCAGAGGAGUAUCCAUACAAAGAUGAUGAGUAGUGUGUUUUUCUUGAAUCUUUAUUUAUGUAUAUACAGUAUGAUUUUUGCAUUCUUGUUUUCGUCUGUGAUAAUAGAACUUGUUUGGUCUUACUCCCCUUAUUAAACUAGAAUGUUUUAUGACAUUAAUCCUGUUUUCUUUUAUUUGUCAUCUUUGCAUUAUUCCACAAUCGAUGCCUCUUCAUUUCCUCCAAAAUUUACACAGAUGCUUGGCAAUUGUAACACCGUGUAUAACGGAAGAUAUCAACAAACAAAAACUUUAAAUAUUACCUUUAUAAUCACAAAAGAAGCAAGUGGAAAUUUCCUAAUUACAUCAUUAAAAAGUCAUCUAGUGUUAAAGUGUUACAUACAAGUUACAUAAUCGAAUAGAUAGACAUUGAAGUGAUUAUUCCCAAAAGUGAACAAUUGGUCUCGACAAAUGCAUACAUGUCAUAAAAUCAAGUCUUGGGCUAAUACCCUAGUGAGAGCAUGUUGAUAUCAAUAAUUGAUCAAUAAAGCUAAAGAAAAAAAUAAAAAAUAAUUGUGUAAAUAUGUUAUGACUAUGCCUUAUGCAACUAAACAUGCAAACAUCUCAUUCAUGAAUCAUGACCAACCGAUAUUCAUGGAAUUUGCUCAAUUUCUUGUUGUUUAGAUGAUAAUGUAUCAAUUUCUAACAAUUUCAUUGUAUUUUGUAAGAUUUUAUUUAAAAAAUAUUGAUCGAAAAGUGAGGAUAAAAAUUGAAGAUAUAGUUGUCAAUGAGAAUAGAAAAAUCGCCAUCACCAUAUCACCAUAUCAAGUUGAAAGAUUUAUCUUGAUGAUGGUGAUGAAAGAAACGUCACAAAAACUAAGAAACGUGUUGCAAAAAGGAUUACAUCAAAAAUCUUAAAAGUUAAUACUUAAUACGUCAUUUGAUAUGGUUGAAUUAUUUAAGGGGAGGUUUGAUAAAAUAGUUUUAUAUAAUAAUUAAACUUUUAUAAGCCUUUUAAAAACAACAGUUCUUAUAAAAUUAAAAACAUAUUUAUAAGUCAGAGUUUGUUACUUUUAUCCCACAUUUGUGCAUUGCUACAGUCAAGUAAUUAAGCAUGCCAACACCACUUUAAAAGCAAAACCGACACAAAAACCACAUCAAUACCCACAAGUUAUCAUCUUCAAGUUUAAAGCAAACAAACACACAAAGUUUACAAACCACACAGUUGAGGAGUUCAAAAGCCACACAGUUAAAGAAGUUCAAACAAACCAAACAACAGAAACAGAAUUCACACACAGUUUUUUAAGAAAACCACCACCACUGCCGCCACUCUGCCGCCAGUAACCUUCCUUCCUGCAGGAUCUGCAACCAAGAAAACUCAUAUCAUGUCUAACAAAGCAAUGUGGAAGGAAAGUCUUUGUAAACAAUCUUAUAAAAUUAAGUUAUGGUUUUUGUAAUUUGUUAUGAUCAUGAAAGAGUAACAUUACCAUGGUGUGUCACAAGAAGUAUUUACCUUUUUGCUCUUCAUUGCCAGUGGCUAUCUGUCAAUGUAACAACCAAAAGGUGAGUAACUGAAAGAUAGACCGUUUAGGACACUUUCUAGUUGAUUCUGCUAAAACGGCUAAAUGCAAGAAAUUGCAUUAUACUUUCAUUUAUUUGUGUAUUAUAGCAGUCGACUAGCAUUUCUUUUUAUUGCACCAUUGUACAUCCAACUUUUUUUUAUUAUGGCAUUGUGCUUUCAAAAUCUGUCCAAUUAUAGCGUUGUUUUCUUUUAAUUUUUUUCUUGUUAAGACAUUAUACUUUGAAAAAUCUAACAAACUACAUCGGUGGAAAUUGCUUUCUAUUUGAAUGACUAUUGCUACAAUUUGGUAGAUUUUUCAAAAUAUAAUGUUUAAUAUGAAUGAAUGAAAGUAGGGUGUUAUAAUAAACAAAAUAGAUAAAUGCCGAAAUAGCAACUUCUUCCUUGUAUUUGUUUAUUAUAGCAUUCUAUUUUCAUUUUAAUUUUUCUAUUACAAAUUUGUAUUAUCAUUUACUUGUAUAAUACAACAUUAUACUUUCAUCUUUUUAUUGCAUUGCACUUCUAAUUUUUCUAUCUUAUUAACAAAUUAUACAUUGAAAAACCUACCAUUUGCUUUGUAUUCGAAUGAAAUAUGUGUAAUGAGCUAGAUUAUUCAAAAAAUAAUGUUGUAAUAGGAAGAAACAAAAGUAUGAUGUUAUAUUAAACAAAUUGGAUUAAAAGCAAGAAAUAGCAAUGUGCUUCCAUUUAUUUGUUUAUUAUUAACAUCCUACUUUCAUUUCUUUCUAUCACAUCAUUUCACUUUCAAUCUUUUUCUUAUUAAGACAUUAUACUUUGAAAUCUACCCAAUAAUAACUUUAGACUUUUAGUUCUGUUUACUUCGAAAAAUGUACUCAAUUGAAACAAUAAAUGUUGAUUUUUUAUUUGAAUAACAUUGCUAUGAUCGGGUAGAUUUUCCAAAGAAGAAUUGAAAGCAAGAUGUUAAAAUAAACAAAUAAACGAAAUUACGUUGCUAUUUCUUCCAUUUAACCCCAAGUAAAAAAUAAAAUAAAAUAAAAUACUUACUACACGGCACGAGAGUUUCAAAGAACGGAAACACGACAAUUGGUGCCUUUUUAUCAUCCUCAGUUAUACGAAACUCUUCCCAUGUCGCAUGAACCAAAUUAUAUAAAAUCUCGUGUCGAAACCCCGCAACAUCUCUAUAAACAAACAAUAUCGCAUAUUUAUGCGCAACAACCGAGUCAAACUGAGCAACUUCCAACCAAUUACCCGGAAACGGGGGUACCUUCUUCGAAUGCCAACUCCCCCUCGCCUCAUCAUAAAGCCAUAAAACAAUUAUCCCACACAUCCAAUCCACUAAGCAAAGCCGAUCAUGGAAGUCGAUCAAGAAUGAAAUUUCUGCCGCGGUUGGAAGCAGGAUUUCCUUGACAUUACAAUCCAUAUCCACCAUAAGAAUCGAAGAAGGUAAAUCAAACUCCUCUUCAUCCGAUAAAAACCAAUAUAACUUUUCGUUAAUGCAAACAUGAUUUGAGGCCAAUGUACGCCUAAGAUUCAUUAGUGGAUGUGAAGGAACGCUUCCAAGCAAUUCCCAUUCUCCGGUUUCCGAAGAAUAAACUUCACAUUGUGAAAACCCCAUUCCAAAAUGAAUCGGAUCGCUAAAAAACUUGAAUAUCUUAUAAAUAUGGAAUUUGUUCGAAUAUAAAACCCCAAAAACAGGCAUGUAGACAGACAUGUAGCUAUUGGGGAGGAGCACGACUUCACGAGUGGCGGGGUUGCAAAUGCGUAACUCUAUAUCAUACAACAUCCGGUAUUUACUCACGUCAUUUAUGCAACAAAUUAGACCAUUGAAGGAAGAGAUUACAAGCGGGUGAUGUACAUUUUCAAAACCAGGAAGUGUGUAUGAUUCAGUGUAAGUCCCGUUGGAUUCCAUUAGAUGGAUUCCACGAACGAUUCCAUCUUCGAGCAAACCGGGAUCAUAGAAGGCUAAAAAUUUGGUGUUUUCUUUGGACAAUAAUCGGUGUAAGAUGAUGAAAUACUUUGUGGACAUGACAUCGUACCAGAGCUUGGAGAUGGAUUUGAAGAUUAAUAUGUCUUUGACGGGAAGUCUGAUCAGUAUGUUCUCGAAGGCUCCCACGUCAGACUCCACAGAAUCCCAAGUACCAUUAAAAGGUCGCUUUAGCUUACUAUAAAGCUCAUCCAUUGAAGAGAACCAGAAUUUUAUCUGCAAUACAUGAAUGAAUAAGUUUAUCAGUAGUGAAAAAGGAUAAAAGAAAGUCGUUGUGUAGUGUAGCCUCUGAAAUAAAUUUGCCAUUGCAUGUUUAUGCAACCAUGUUUAGUAUUUUUACUAAUUUAUGCAAUGCAAUUGAUUUUUGACUGAUUUAUUAAACAGUCUUUUAUUUUAUUACCGAGUAUUUACCAAUUUAUGCAUGCAUAAUUUGAUGAAAGAUUAGCAACAAAUUUAAACUUGGAUGAAUAAUUCAUGUCAAGAACCAAUUUUGUUAUAUAAAUCGGUAAAAAAAUGAGUUGUAUAAUUUUUAUUAAAAAACUGAUUUGUUGCCUAAUUUGAUAAAAAGAAAUUGAAACUUGGCUACAUAAAUAUACAUUUUAUUAAAUACUUUGGGGACUCAAAAUAGAGUAACUUCAAUUUCAUGAAAAUUGCAAUAUAAUAAUAAUAAUAAUAAUAAUAAUAAUAAUAAUAAUAAUAAUAAUAAUAAGAGUAAAUUACACGAAUGGUCCCUAUUGUUUGGGGUAAUUUGCACCUUUGGUCCCUAACUUAUUUUUUUAACUCGGAAAAUCCCUAUAGUUUGUUUUUGUUGCAUAUUUGGUCUCUGUCAUACCUAAAAACACUAUUUUGCCAUUGAUUUUUUUAAUUUAUUUAAAUAAGAUAGGAUAUGUAAGGUUAGAUAAGGUGAGAUGGAAUUGGGGUUGGGAUGUGUUUAUUUAAAUAAAUUAAACAUCACGGGUAAAAUAGUCUUUUUAGGUAAGACAGAGACCAAACACGCAACAAAAAAAACAGUAAAUACCUUCCGAGUUAAAAAAAUAAGAUAGGGAUCAAACGUGCAAAUUACCCUAAACCAUAGGGACUAUUCCUUUAAUUUACUCUAAUAAUAAUAAUACUAACAAUUACUAAAAAAAACAAACAUGGCCAUAUUGUUAUCAUAAACUAUCAUUAUUAUAUCAUACUUCAACUAUAUUUGAGAAAACAAUGUACCUUCUGAAAAAGGAAAAAAUUAUACUACAUCAUACUUCAAUUAAGGAUAGCGGGUGCGAAAACCGCAUGUAUUUGUCAUCGGUGACACAUGAAUUUUUGAUUCCUACUAAUGAUAUGAAGAAGAUAUUUUUCUAAAUUAACGAUCGGAUCUGAUAAUUCAAUUAAGAACCCUAAGUGAUUCAAGAACGACAUAUGUGAUCACAAAUGACUGCCCCGUGAUCAUCAUCAAUUUCCUUCUAAAUCAAGAAAUUCCAAAUUUGAAAAGUAAAUUAUCUUGCGAACCUAAAAAUCAAGCAUACAUAGAUUCUACUUCAAGAACCUAAUUAAGUCAAGAACUACAUAAGUGAUCACAAUUGGCUAAUCAUCAUCAUUUCUUAAAAUAGAUUCAAUUUCAAUCGAAUAAACAAUUAAUUUGAUCAACAAAUAAGGAUAUAGGGUCAUUUUGGAUACCAAUUAAGUAUGCUCUAUUAAAAAAUGAAACAUAGUAUUAGAAAGAUCAAACCACUUACUAGAUGAAGAAUCUUGUUAUUCUCCACCCACUUCCUAAGAGAAGCGAAGAUCAUGAUCCACAUUUCCUUCCUUCACCGUGUUUAUAAAUGCAAUAUAAGUGUAUGCAAUAACUUCACACACCGCUUCAUAAUGUACGUGUCCACAUAGAAUUUAUGUAAUGACUCGACAUGUGUUGAUAUAGAAGUUACGUAACUUACUCGAAAAACUCAUGGAUUUGCAUACGUGGUAUCUUUUCAUUGAGCCAAAUGUUAACAUUUUCUAUAUGGGUAUUGUCAACAAGUAUAUACUCUCAUUAGUCAAACUUUUGGGAAGUGAUAUGUGCAUAUUUAAAUAUAUAUUUCGUAUAGAAUUUUUAAUACUUUUUGGCUAAUUUAUUGCAAUUUAUGGACAAAAGGUACUUAAUUAUGUUUAAAUUGUAUUUUCAACCUAAAAGAUGCGCUCGGAAGCAAAUAGUCAUACUUUUGAUCUCUAAAUUAAUUCUAGAUUAAUUAUAGAUCAACACUAAUUAAAUAAUAUGAUUUUAUAUAAUAUAUUAGAACUUAUAAUAUAUUAAUAAAUCAUAACUUAUACUAUUCUCAAAAGAUUAUCCAUAAAUUGUUCGGGUGAAGUGCAACCCAAAUGGAUCAUGCCGGGUCGGGUCAAGUACAUACCAAAUAUAGUUAUGGACUUAGACGCUAUAUCCAACACUUUCCUCAUGCUUAUGCUUUACCCUUUUAUCUUACUUCUUUGCCUUAUUUAUCAUCUUGUCCUCUCCUUUAGGAUCUUCCUUGUCUAAUUCCAUAUUAACCAAAGUUGUCUCCUCUAAUUCCCCACCCAUUUCUUCAUCAACUAUUUCCAUUUCUUCAUAAAAAUCCUCUUCUAUUUCAUCAACUUCCUCUUCCUCUUGAACCUAAGGUGUAGUAAAAGCGAUCACCUCAAAUUUCAUUGGAAUCAAGGCUCUUGGUUUUGUACGUUUGACUUUUUCACCAAGGGGCUCCUCCCAAACUUUUAACUCCUCUUCCAUCAUCUUUUCGAUUGCAACUAACUCAUCAAGAUCUUCUUUCAUAGCAUCCAUAUUCGACACUUCAUCUUUUGGUGCUUCAUGUUGGUUUUUGAGCAUUCUAACACUCCUAAGUGUACAUGUAACUCUAAAUACCUUGGAUCUAUGUUUUCUCUAUUAUACAUGCAAACUUGAACUUUCCAAGGUAUUACCCUAACUAGCAUACAAAAUAUUGAUACUUGGGUAAUAAAACAAGUUAGAUAACAUACCUUUUCUUGUAGUUGGAAACCUUGGACCUUUAAGAACUUAGUGCCCCAAGUGUUGCACCUCAAAUGGAAUCACACAUCACCACCACAAAUUGGAGUAACUUGAGAGAAGAACACUUGCUUCACAAAUCAACUAGCCCUCACUUCUUAUCACUUAAAAGGUGCCAUUUCAUUAGCUAUGAGGCUUCUUAUAUAGUGUGCACAUUAGGGUUACACCAUGUAACUCAUGACUUUCCAUAUUCCUCAUGAUCCAUGGGUUUUAACCUCCAUGGAGUAUCCAUGGGUCACCACAUGGGUUUAGCCCAACAUGAAGAACUAUGGAUCAUAAGCCCACUUUAUAAGAAUGAAUGAUUUACCAAAUCAAUCCCCAUUUAUUUAAUUAGUCUCUUUUGAUCACAAUAUUAAUUCCAAACUAAUUCUUGAUCAAUACUAAUUAAAUAAUAUGAUUUCAUAUUAAUAUAUUAGAACUUAUAAUAUAUUAAUAAAUCAUAAAUAUCCUCUUCUCACAAAAGUCUAUCCAAAUUGUUCUGAUGUCAUGCAACCCAAAUGGAUCAUGCUACUCUCGGGUCAACUACAUACCAAUAAUAGUUAUGGGCUUAGACACUUAAUCCAACAGUCCCCCACUUGGAUAAGUCUAAUAACUAUUAUUGCAAGCAUGACUCCAACCCAACUAGCAAUCGUAGCUCUUAAAAGUCGUUGUUGAACUAUGACCUAGUCAAUGACGCAUCCAUUAGAUAAGGGAUCCUAUAUUCCUCUAUUCUAGAUAUCAUAUGGGCUGAGACAUGGAUUAUAAUCAUUCUCUCUGUCCAUCUGUUGUUUCCCGAUUUCUGAUUUAUGAUGACUGACUAAUUGAACGAAUCAAAUCAGUCCAAGCCUAAUGUCAUCACUAAAUCAUCGAGGGGCCCACGAAUAUCGCUUUUAUCCACAUGGGGUAAAAGGAACGGAUAAACUUCGACCCAAAUGCUCGUUUGCACUUACUCAUUAAAUUACACACAAUGAUAUGUUUUAUAACAUCCAAGUUACUGGUGCGUUUACAUAUGUCAAUAUGCAACCAACUCGCGACUACAACUCACACGUCUCCGUUUGAAGAAUAUAAGAUAUCAUCAUCUCAUUAUCCCUCAUGAUAAAAUCCAUGAAGUGAUUCAAAUGAGCGUGGGUUGAAUCCAAUACUCGAAUCUCAUUCUAGGAGCACUCAUGAACAUUGUAGCCACUUUGUCCUAAACAAACUAUAGACCCAUUCAUGACAGACUUGCCUCAAUACCUACUUCCAAAGUAUGAUCGACUGUGGAUGGUUUGAAUAACCUAGUUAUUCGGGAAGUCAAAACAUGCAAAGUGAAACACAAGAAUAAUCGAAUCCAAUAUGGUCUCAGAACUUAUGAAUAUAAAUAAAACACCUUUUAUUUAAUCACCAUAUUGAUUACACAUUAUUCAUUGUAUAAUGUUUCGAUUAAUCAAUCUAAUACUUGAAUUAAAACAAUAGCUAUGCCAUGCUCCAAGCAUGCACACUAUGUUUGUCUAUGGUCCUUACUUUGUGAAAUAGAUCAAUUGAAAAACAUUUCAAUGAUGCUCACUUCACAAUUCCAAAUCCUUAUUGCAAGUGUAAGAAUUCCAAAUUCUUUUCACUGCUAGAAAGUGUUAGAUUCUAAACUAUCAUGCAAUGAUUCUUUUGUAAUGUCUAGGUACCAAAAGUCAUAGAGACUUGACCAAUGAUAUUACAAAAUAUUCCUUCUGGAGAUUGUUUCAAGAGAAUUCCAUGGAAAUGAAGUCUCAAAUUCAAAGUACAUUCCUUUGAACAUCCUUCUUGCAUGAAAGUUUCUAACUUUUUCAUCUAUUCUUCAACUCCCAAUAUGGAAACAUUCUGUAUUCCCAUUUUGACUAUCACUUCUGAACAAGAGUUGCCUCUCUUCAGAAUAUGUCAAUAUGGUCCAUCCAUUUUUAUACUACUAACUGUCCUUAAGCGACUAAUCUUUAGCGAACCUUAGAUUGUCCUUAACAGUUGUUUAACCACUUUAGUCAAAUCCAGUUCUAUUCCUUUUUCCCUCUUAAUGCCCUAGGCAUUUGAAAAUUUUAGAACACAAGAAUAUUAUAGCAUAUGCAAUCGAUCCUAUACCCGAAGCAUAUGGGAUACGAUUCAU